GGUAAUCCACCGAUCUUGGCCUCCCAAAGUGCUGGGAUUACAGGCCUGAGCCACCAUGCCCAGCCCAUAUUUUUAAAUUAUUAUUUUUAAAUUAUUUAAAAGCUACUAUUACUAUAAUUUUGGUUUGUAACUCCACUUUUUUCCUAGAUAAUUUAAGAGACCAGUGCAUUUAUAAGAAUUAUUUAUGUUUUGGAGUACACAAUGUAUAAAGAUGUAAUUUUGUGACAUCAGCAACUGAAAGGAGUGGAGACAAAGCUGUAAAGGAACAGAGUUUUUUAUGUCGUUGAAGUUAAGCUGGUAUAAAUUCAAAUUGGAGAGUUAGAACUUUAGGGUGUUAAAUGUAAACCCCAUAGUAACCACAAAGAAAACCUAUAGAAUAUAUACCAAAGGAAUUGAGGAAGAAAUUGAAACAUUUCACUACAAAAAAACACACACACACACACACACACAAAAGAAGACAGUAAUUCAGGAAAUGAGGGACAAAAAAAGUUAUAUGGCAUAUAUAAAACACAUAGCAAAAUGACAGACGUAGGUCCUUUCUUGUCAGUAAUUAUUAAUUUUAUUUUAUUUUUUGUUUUUUAGAGGUGGGUUCUUGCUCUGUCACCGAAGCUGGAGUGCAGUGGUGCAAUCAUAGCUCACUGUAACCUCAAACUCCUGGGUUCAAGUGAUCCUCCCAUCUCAGCCUUCCAAGUAGCUAGCACUAUAGGCACAUGCCACCAUGCCUGGCUAAUUUUCUGUAGAAUGUGGCCCAGGCUGGUCUCCAACUCCAGGCCUCAAGCAACCCUCUCAUCUCAGCCUCCCAAAGCACUGAGAUUACAGGCAUGAACCACUGUGCCCAGUCUCUCCUUAUCACUAAUUACUUUAAAUGUAAAUGGAUUAAACUCUCCAAUCAAAAGACAGAGAUUGGCAGGAUGAAUAAAAACCCCUGAUCCAAGUAUAUGCUGUCUACAAAAGAUUCACUUUAGAUUGAAAAACACAAACAUUGAAAAUGAAAACAUAGAAAAAGAUAUUCCAUGCAAAUAGAAACCAAAAGAGGAGGAAUGACUGUACUAGUAUCAGACAAAAUACAUUUUUAAAUCAAAAAAGUUCACAAGGGAGGUCAGGGACGGUGACUCACACCUGUAAUCUCAGCACUUUGGGAGGCUGAGGCGGGCGGAUCACCUGAGGUCGGGGGUUCGAGACCACCCUGACCAACAUGGAGAAACCUCGUCUCUACUAAAAAUACAAAAUUAGCUGGGCGUGGUGGCGCAUGCCUGUAAUCCCAGCUACUUGAGAGGCAGGAGAAUUGCUUGAACCCAGGAGGCAGAGGUUGCAGUGAGCCGAGAACG
rnacentral:lncRNA from 10 species